rnacentral:misc_RNA from 1 species
UCCCGGUUUAGCCGGGCAGUCUCGCGUGACAUCUAAAACACACGACAGGGGUUACGCUCGUUGCGGGACUUAACCCAACAUCUCACGACACGAGCUGACGACAACCAUGCACCACCUGUACACCGCCCUUGCGGACCCCGUAUCUCUACGAGUUUUCGGUGUAUGUCAAGCCUUGGUAAGGUUCUUCGCGUUGCGUCGAAUUAAACCACAUGCUCCGCUGCUUGUGCGGGCCCCCGUCAAUUCCUUUGAGUUUUAGCCUUGCGGCCGUACUCCCCAGGCGGGGUACUUAAUGCGUUAGCUGCGGCACGGAACCCGUUGAAAGGUCCCACACCUAGUACCCAACGUUUACGGCGUGGACUAC